UAGUUUCCGAGCCUAUCAUGCCUAAAGCAUCGCCAUGGCGGAUAGGCCGAUAGGGUAUAGUAUGGAAACAUCUAUGCCUCCCGUUGGAAAGGAAAUGAAUGCAGAA
rnacentral:ncRNA from 1 species